AGAUUGAGUCCCUAUUCAUUUGUCAAACAUGUCUUUCCUUAAGCCACUCACUCUACAAACAAAAGUUAGCUCUGAUAAAUUUGCACAAUUAUAAUAGCGUGGUAGUUGUGCAUUCAAUUUCCAACAGUACUAAAAUUCAUCAGUCAUGUAGUAUUAAAAGCAAUUCAACAAUUAUAGACGCACUCUUCAUCACUACGGGGCUAGACCUGCAAAAAAAAAUAUUGGAAGAUUCAAAAUAUAUCUUUAUUCACUGUGAAUCACGGACAGCCUUUCCUUUGUAUUUUUUUGCAUAUCCUUUCUCUAUCUCUUUUUUCGAGGCAAGAAAAUGGAGUCCUAUUUUGCAAUCCAACUUGCUUUACCAUUCAAAUAUAAAUUGAUUGGUGUCAUAUUGUGCCUCACACAACUUGCCGCACUGAGGUCUGUCCAUCAACACACGCAUAUCUCAUAUAAGGUAAUAAAAUUUUAACAUUGUCAAACAAUACAUAUGUGCGUGCUUUGUGUUUGUAGAAAAAUGUGAAAAAUAUUAUUUAUAAAAAAUUAAAUUGAUUGUCUAUCAAA